UACGUAGGGGGCUAGCGUUGUCCGGAAUCAUUGGGCGUAAAGCGCGUGUAGGCGGCCCGGUAAGUCCGCUGUGAAAGUCCAGGGCUCAACCCUCGGAUGCCGGUGGAUACUGUCGGGCUUGAGUACGGAAGAGGCGAGUGGAAUUCCUGGUGUAGCGGUGAAAAUGCGCAGAUAUCAGGAGGAACACCAAUUGCGAAGGCAGCUCGCUGGGACGUUACUGACGCUGAGACGCGAAAGCGUGGGUAGCAAACAGG
rnacentral:rRNA from 1 species